rnacentral:misc_RNA from 1 species
AGCAGGAUCAAUAUCAGCAUGAGAUUGAUCACCCCGGUGAGAGCUCCGCCGCUCUGAAGGGCCAUUGUGCCUGGAAUAGUGGUACAAGGAGAGUUAAAGAUUGUGCUCCACCAUUUUUUUUUUACCGGAUGGCACUUCACAGUGGAUCUCUUGGCUCGUGCAUUGAGGAAGACCGCGGCAAGAAGCGAUAUUCGCGAUGAAUUGCAGAACUACUGCGAAUCGUUGGUCGUUGAAUGCACAUGGUGCCCCCAGGAUAUCGCCUGGGGGUGUGUGCGGCUCAGUGUUGCUCAUAAAAAAACUUCACUCACUGUGUGGGUUUCCCUCUGGUGAUGAAGUGAAGCGGCAAUGGGGAAAUCCCUUUGCUUGGAAACCUUGACUACCGCGUUUCAAGAGUGCUGGAAAGAGCCUGUCUUUGUCCGCAUUCCUUGAUUCGUAGUGUCACAACUCACGUUGACCUGAGCUGUGCAAAAGAACGGGCUGAACUUAAGCAUAUCAAUAAGCCCAGGAAAAGAAAGCAACUGCGAUGGCCUCAGUAACGGCGAGUGAACAGGCCAAAGCCCAUCCCAGAAGCAACUCUGUGGUUUCGGCCAUCAGGCAAGGUUGCGUUGUAGGGUAAGCGUCUCACGGCGAAAGGACCUCAGACAGGAAGGUUGCCUGGAACGGCACUGCCACGGAGCGUGAUAGCCGCGUUACACUGUCUGAUGGUUUGUGAAAGCUGUGGGGAGGCAAGAGUCGGGCUGUUUGGGAGUGCAGCUCUAACAGUGAGGUAUACCCCUCAUAAGGCUAAAUACUGGCACGAGACCGAUAGCGAACAAGUAGAGUGAUCGAAAGAUGCAAAGAACUUUGAAAAGAGAGUUAAAAGUGCGUGAAACUGUGGAGUGGUAAGGGAUGGAGACCCAUCUAAAAACGGGGUGAGGCUGCCAAAGCCUUCCCUGAGCAGCUCGAGCUCGUUGACCCCCACCGGCCUUGGAUGAGCUAUCAUACCUUCGGGUGCGGUAGUCUCUGGGGUGCUUGGAUUGGUGGUUGAUUGGCCCGCAGGAAUUGCCUGGGAGUGCAUCCGAGUGGUUUACGUGCACACUGAUCCUUGUACGUGGGUAUGGGGCUUCGGUUCCAUGCCUUCCUUCGCGACGUGCGGGGAUCAGGGGGCGCGGCCUAAACGAUGCAAACAGGAUAAUUGCUGCUCUGUAAAUGAUCUCCAUUCACCCGUCUUGAAACACGGACCAAGGAGUCUAGCGUUUGUGCGAGUGUUGUGGUGAAUGAAACCACGGCGCGUAUUGAAAGAGACUACCUCUGAUCCAUGCUUUUGCGUGGUUGCAAGAGGGGCCGUUCCUGAUCAAUUGGACAAGGAUAUGAGUUGAAGCACAGGCGCUGGGACCCGAAAGAUGGUGAUCUUUUCCUGAAUAGAGCGAAGACGGAGGAAACUUCGUUGGAGGCUCGUAGCGGUACUGACGUGCAAAUCGUUCGUCGAAUUUGGGUAAAGGGGCGAAAGACUCAUCGAACUGUCUAGUAGCUGGUUCCCUC